AAAGGUAACAUGCUAAAAUGGUUAAGCAUAGUUGAAAUACAGUUUUCAAUAUAAUUUUUCAGGUGUUUGUAGGUUGGACAUUGCUUAUGUAGGUAUAUUUGGAAAUAUAAUUACUAUUUGUAACAUUAUGGAGAACUGGGCUUAAAACAAUGGCAUUGAUUCUUAGGACACACCCCAUUUGAGAAUGGGGGACUCCUUUGUGUUGUUUCAUUUCCCCUUAGUUGGAGAAUUUGCUUUUUCAUUUCCUAAGGCACUAAAUGAUAGCUGUGGCCCUCUAGUCAGGAGCAACCGAUUGCUACAAGCACCCAGCAGCCCUUAUCACGUGGCUGAGGAGGUGGCAGUACCAUUGAGCCGCAGCAGAAACUCCUAUUCCUGGCACCCAAAUACAGUGCUUUUUUUCUUUUAACCUUUUAUGCUGUAACUCAUGGUAAUAUUAAAAUAUUAUUCCACCAGGAUCAAUGCAAAGAAAAUCAUCAACUCCGAUUGCAGCAGGCUAAAGAAAGUAUAAAAUAUUUUCAUCAGCACCAUAGUAUUCAGAUGAAAAGAGACAAGAUCAAAGCAGAGGAGCAAAAGAAAAAAGAAUGGAUAAACCAAGAACGCCAAAAAACACUGCAACGAUUGAGAGCAUUUAAAGAGGUUCACAAAGACCCAAGUUCAUUGUUGCCCCAAGCAGAAAACAGCCCACUCCAGACGAGCCUCUGGAAUAAGGUACCAAGACUGUGCUGUGUGAUAACAAGCAAAGUAGGGCCCCUGGAAUGACAAGUCAUGACAUACUACCUUCAUCUUGUGUUCUGAUACACUUACUAUUACUACUCUGUCACCAAGUGUGUCCCCCUUCCGUGCCUAGGUACUUAGUCAUUCUCCUUUCGUUUUUAAAAUGACCUUGUGAGCUACUGUCACCCACUUCACAGGUGAGUAAGCAAAGCUCAGCGGGGUUAUACAGAGCGGGGUCUCUCACUCCAGAGCCACAGCUCAGAUUCUCCAACCCGGGCAGCACAUCAUGGUCAUCUGGGAAGCCUCUAAAAGGACGAAUGCCAGACUCCACUUCCAGGGAUUCUGAGUUUGUCGUCCUGGACUGGGGCCUGGGCGUGAAUGGAAGCAGGACGAAUGCACUGGGGGAAGCGACAGGAAUGCCAGCUGGACGGAUAGCACGUGAGCUGUCAGUCACCAGAGGACCAUUAGUGCAGUGGAAUCAGUAUGGAGGAAGGGAUGCCCGGGGCCCAAGUCCAGCUCCUCAGCCCUGAACCAGUCAGAUAGAUUAGUGAUCAACUUUUCAAACAGAGAUGGUGUGAAGGUGGGAGGAUAGACAGAUGGGAAGUGACAGAAUCAGGCCGCCUAAGCACUCAGCAAACUGGAACAAGGAGUUAAAAAAAACCUAACAGGUUGAUCUCAAAUUGGUUUAAGUUGCAGGUUUUUUUGGUCCAAAAAUACACUUACACAGGGGGUGGUAAGAAGGACUGUGAGUGUGUGUGUGUGUGAUUUAAUGUAGAGAAAAGAACCUUGAGAAUUUAGUUUCCUUCAGUUUAAUGUGAAUCACUUGGGAUAAAGCUGUAGAAAAACUCAUGAGUUUUUAGAAAGGAACAGAAGCAUCGUUUUGUAGAAUGAGGGAAUUCUGUCCCCCUUAAAGCAGACAAAACCAAUUGGAGCACAUCUGGAAGGAAUUAGGAGAGGGAGAAGGCCGGAAAUGAAAUCAUGGGAUACAAGAUACAUGUGGAGCCCAGACAGGUUUUCCUUACAUACAUGAAGGGCUGCCAGGAGGUGAAGGGUUUCACUGGUCGUGGGCGAGCCUCAGGGAGGCGGACUGCCCAGCAAUGUCAGGUAGAACUCAGCAGGCCAGAGUUACAACAACCUGCUGCUGUAGGAUGCUAGGAGGGGAGCCUUGGCUGGCUGGGGCUCCCCGACAUCAGGGAUGGCUUGAUGACCCGUGGAGUCUGGUCAGAGUUUCCGGGAUUCUGUUCUACUGGCCUGCUCUGUGACAGAAAG